rnacentral:lncRNA from 1 species
GACCUUUAAGCCGUAUCUCUCAAAUCCUAACUCUCAUAUCUUCUCCUCAUUUUCGCUUGUCCUGCCUCCCCCCCCCCCUCCCCCCUUUCUUUACUCUUAUCUUUCUUUGACCUCCUCUCUAAACCCUAUUACCGAUUGAUGCAACAUUUGCUGCCACCCCUUUUUUCCUUUCUUCUCUCUCUGCCAGUUAAACUUAGACCACAUCUCAAAGUUUUCCGCUGACCCUUUUUCUCUUUUCUCUCAUCUCUUAUCCAGAACCCCCCUAGAAAACUAACACCAUACUGUGUUAUCUCGUCUGUCACUACCACCACCCUCAUCAUGACCCAGAAAUUAGACUCUCCAAAAUUAUUAUGCCGCCUCAACCCCACGUGCAAAAUCCUAUCUCCCUUGUACCGAAACACUUGAGUAUCUUGACUCGGAUUCAAUAUCUAUGAUGAAGAUCCGAUGGUUAAAGCUUCAAUCCAAAAGUCUCUUGUCAAAUCGUGAGCAAAAUCAGAUGAUUUUGCCACAACGGCUAUUUUUCCCUCACAUGGUCUCUGAAAGAUAAGAUUUUAACUUUGUCCUUUUUGAUCCCAUCAUGUUUUUACUCAUUUUAUCAUCACUUUGUUCACAAUUUUUACUUCAAAUCAGAAGCUGGCAAAGCCAUAAAUUCUGCUAUAAAUACCAGACUUUAAGGCUUCAACAAUCAUAAUUCACCUAAUUUUACUCAUUGAAAGUCUCAUAAGUUCUUGUUCAAUUUCCGCUACUCACUCUUUUUUCUAUCCUUCUUGCUGUUGUAGCUGAGUUCGAGUUUGGAAUUGUUUUCAGAGAUGAGUCCUGGAUGACCGACUUUAGCCUCAGUUUGCUUCUCAACAAAAGGUCAAUGACCCUGCCUUCACCAUCUCUUCUUUUAAGCUAUAAAAGCUGAACGUAUAUUAGUUGCUAUAAUGGCUCGUUUGGUUUAUGCUUUUAAAAGGCUGAAAAAUAUCCUCAAAUGUUCUUUUAAAUGGCUCAUGUGUUAGAAAGUUUUACCUUUCAUUCAGGUUUAGAUAUCUUGUAAUGACCCAACAGGUCAUUUUGAGCUCUAGCGCGUCGUUCGGCAGUUUGAGGCCAUGAGCAAUUUCACUUCAGGUAUUAUGACUUGUACGCGUGGUCGGGAUUGGAUUUCGGGAGUUUGGAGUUGAAUUGAAAAGAAAAUUCUCAUUUUGAAAGCUUUAAGUUGGAAGAAUUGACUAAAUUGGAUUUUAGAGUAAAUGACCUCGAAGGUUCCAGCAGGUUCGUAUGAUGAUUUUUGACUUGGGCGUAUAUUCGGAUAAGGUUUUGGAUGCCCCGGGAGCGUUUCAGCACCUAUUGUGGAAGUUAGCAUUUUGGAAUAAUUCCAUAAAAUUGGGUUGAAGUGAAUUUCAAUGUUAUCGAUGUCUGUUUUGAAUUCCAAGUCUGAGAAUAGCUCCGUAUGAUGAUUCUGGUAUUGGGAGCGCAUCCGAAAGUGGAUUUGGAGGUCCGUAGGUCAUUUUGGAGUCGUUUGGCGAAAGUUAGAAAUUUGAAAGUUUUUGAGAAGUUUGACCGGAAGUGAACCUUUUGAUAUCGGGGUCGGAAUCUGAUUCCAGAAGUGGGAGUAGGUCCGUAAGUCAAAUGUGACUUGUGUACAAAAGUUUGAGGGCAAUCGGGCGUGAUUUGAUAGGUUUCGACAUCGAAUGAGGAAGUUUGAAGUUCUAAAGUUCAUAAAGCUUGAAUUGGAGUGCGAUUCAUGAUUUUAGCGUUGUUUGAUGUAAUUUGAAGGCUCGACUAUGUUCGUGAUGUAUUUUGGGACGUGUUGGUAUAAUUGGUUGAGGUCCCGAGGGCCUCGGGUGGAUUUUGGAUAGUUAACGGAUUGGAAUUUGGACUUGGGCAAUGACUGAAGCAUCAAAUUUGCUGGUGUCUGGUUUUCUUCUACGUGUUCGCGAAGGAAUUCCCGCAUUCCCGUAGAGGAAGUUGAGGGCUGCUGGGAUUUACCCUUUGCGUUCGCGAAGAAGGAAUCGCGUUCGCGAAGGGUUACUAUGAGGCAUGGGAGGUUGUACUUCGCGUAAAAAGGAUCGCGUUCGCGAAGGUCUGGCCCGGUGUGCUUCGCAUUCGCGGGAGGAACGUUCGUGUAAGAGAAAUACUUGGCCCUUUUCAUUUCAUUUUCAUCCUUGGGAGCCGGUAUUGGAGCAAUUUUGGAGCUCCAUCUUCAUCAUCUACAUCAAGGUAAGUGAUUCCCACCUAUUGCAAGCUAAAUACAAGGUUUAUAUACGGAUUUAGAUAUGAAAACUAGUAGAAAGUUGAGAUUUUGAAGAAAGACCUAGAACAUGGUAUUUUUAGAUUUUUACCACGAAAUUUGGAUAUGGAAUUGGGAAUAAAUUAUAUAUUUGAGUUCGUGAGGUUAUGGGUAAACUUUAUCUUAGAAUAUUUUCGAAAUCCGGGCACGUGGGCCCGAGGGUGAUUUUAUCGACUUUUUAAACGGAAUUGCAAUUUGUUAUAAAUUGGAUUAUAAGGAGUAUUAGAGUAUAUAUUCAUGGACCUUUAUUUACUAGUUUUGGAGCAUGGAGCAUCGGUUCGAGUUAUUGAAAAGGCCUGGGAGCCGGAGAAGGAACUUCGGAGUGAGGUAAGUCUCAUUUCUAACCGUGUAAGAGGGAAUUUAUCCCAUAGGUGAAAUAAUUCAAUAUGUGCUUCUACUUGUUGGGGGGGGGGGGGAGGGGGAGGGGUACGUUCGUACGAUGUGAUGAGAGUCCGUACGUAGAUAUUAUUAUGCUUAUAUCCGGGUAGUCUAGGACCCAAAUUGCGUUAUAUUUGUGAUGCUUGCAUCCUACUUGUUAAUUUAACCGUUUAAAAGAUGUUGGAACUUGAUAAAAGAAUUUCAAAAGGUUAAACUUCACCUACUUGGAUUUCGGACGGGUCAUUUGACCGUUAAUGAGAAUUGAUAUUUCUUUGAAUAUCAAACCUAAAUAAAUCCUUAAUUUGGUGGUGUGAAUGUGUUUAUCUUUUGUGGAACAGGCCGAACGCCUCGACAGAUUAAAUAGAUGUAUCUGUGGUUUGCGCCAUUCGACCCUCUGGCAGUGCACAGUUUAAAUAUUUAUUGGAUCGGCCCGUACGACCUCGGAAUGAUUUGCGCAUGACUUAAUUGAUUGUUUGGAAUUAUUUAUAAUUGAUAUGGCCUCAUUGACCGGAGAUAUAAAUUGUUAAAAGAUGAAAAUAAAUUUGAAAAUCUCCUAUUAACAAGAGAAUUAUUUACCUGCCUCAUGUUAUUGUGUUUACCGUUGGCUCAUUAAAUCCAUAAUUUAUCAAAUCAUCGGUAUAUUAUUUAUAGCCCAUAGUAAGUGUCCGAGUCGACCCCUCGUCACUACUUCUUUGAGGUUAGGCGGGAUACUUACUGGGUACGCGUUGAUUUACGUACUAUGCUACACUUGAUGCAUAUUUUUGUGCAGGUACACAUAUGUUUAGCUGCCUUGUGGGCGCAUAGGCGCUAUUAUGACGGGGACUUAGGUGAGCUGCAUUCUAUACGAUGCUCCGCAGCCAACAGAGUCUCCUUCGAAGUACUUAUAUUUUUUCUGUCCAAUUUGUAUUCCGGAAAGCUGUUGUAUUUUAUUUUACAUUCUUAGUAAAUGCUCAUGCACUUGUGACACCGGAUUUUGGGAUGAUUAUGGGUUGCAAUGUAUUGGAAAUUUUUAAAGAUAUUGUUACGUAUUUUGUAAACUCCGUCUUCUGCUAUUUAAUUGAAAGGAACAACUAUGAUUUCAAAAA